AAGUCGUAACAAGGUCUCCGUUGGUGAACCAGCGGAGGGAUCAUUACCGAGUCACGUGCUCAAACAACCCUUCUGUGGACCUGAAAUAAACCGUUGCCUCGGCGGGCGGUCCCCUGCUGAAAACCCACGUGGUGUAGGCAGGGGACCAGACAGUCCGGCACGCUUGAGGCGUCCGGCGCCAGCCGCUGGCCCUAAAAAAUUAAACUCUAGUAACCUUACCUUCUGAGUUUUAAUACAAAAAAUAUGUCAAAACUUUCAACAACGGAUCUCUUGGCUCUG
rnacentral:misc_RNA from 1 species